rnacentral:rRNA from 1 species
AACGAACGCUGGCGGCAUGCCUAACACAUGCAAGUCGAACGAUACCUUCGGGUCUAGUGGCGCACGGGUGCGUAACGCGUGGGAACCUGCCCUUAGGUUCGGAAUAACUCCCCGAAAGGGGUGCUAAUACCGGAUAAUGUCUUCGGACCACAGAUUUAUCGUCUUUGGAUGGGCCCGCGUUGGAUUAGCUAGUUGGUAGGGUAAAAGCCUACCAAGGCGACGAUCCAUAGCUGGUCUGAGAGGAUGAUCAGCCACACUGGGACUGAGACACGGCCCAGACUCCUACGGGAGGCAGCAGUGGGGAAUAUUGGACAAUGGGCGAAAGCCUGAUCCAGCAAUGCCGCGUAAGUGAUGAAGGCCUUAGGGUUGUAAAGCUCUUUUACCCGGGAUGAUAAUGACAGUACCGGGAGAAUAAGCUACGGCUAACUCCGUG